rnacentral:rRNA from 1 species
AGAGUUUGAUCAUGGCUCAGGAUGAACGCUGGCGGCGUGCCUAAUACAUGCAAGUCGAGCGGUAAGGCCCUUCGGGGUACACGAGCGGCGGACGGCUGAGUAACACGUAGGAACGUACCCCAAAGUGAGGGAUAAGCACCAGAAAUGGUGUCUAAUACCGCAUGUGCUCUAAGGAGUAAAGCUCCGGCGCUUUGGGAACGGCCUGCGCAUGAUUAGCUAGAUGGUGAGGUAAUGGCUCACCAUGGCGACGAUCAUUAGCUGGUCUGAGAGGAUGAUCAGUCAGACUGGGACUGAGACACGGCCCAGACUCCUACGGGAGGCAGCAGUAGGGAAUUUUCCACAAUGGGCGAAAGCCUGAUGGAGCAACGCCGCGUGCAGGAUGAAUGCCUUCGGGUUGUAAACUGCUUUUAUAUGUGACGAAUAUGACGGUAGCAUAUGAAUAAGGAUCGGCUAACUCCGUGCCAGCAGCCGCGGUCAUACGGAGGAUCCAAGCGUUAUCCGGAAUUACUGGGCGUAAAGAGUUGCGUAGGCGGCAUAGUAAGCAGAUAGUGAAAGCGUGUGGCUCAACCAUACUCACAUUAUCUGAACUGCUAAGCUAGAGGACGAGAGAGGUCACUGGAAUUCCUAGUGUAGGAGUGAAAUCCGUAGAUAUUAGGAGGAACACCAAUGGCGUAGGCAGGUGACUGGCUCGUUCCUGACGCUCAGGCACGAAAGCGUGGGGAGCAAACGGGAUUAGAUACCCCGGUAGUCCACGCCGUAAACGAUGGAUGCUAGCUGUUAGAGGUAUCGACCCCUCU